CAGGGCCCUGGCCACUCGAUUAAUUGAAGGGCUGCAGGAUUUUGACUGUACAAAGGUACCAUAAUCAUUAAUCUUUUAAUUGAGGACUGGUAUGAAAGGUUUGACGGAGAUUGGCUGUCUCCGGCUUAAAAUUGUGAAUUUUAUUUUUAAGGAAAAGAGCUUAAAUGCUCCAAGGGACAAAAAAACCCUAUUAAAUUUCAUUAUUGCUAAAAAAAAUUUUAUUUGUAUAAAAUUUUUUUUUAAAAAAUAAUUUUGGUGGGGCGGAAAAUAAUUAACAUUAUUGGCUUUUAAUAAUUUAAUUAGCUUUAUUAUGACCCACUAAGUGUGAUAUUAAAAAUAAAUUACUAUAGGGAUAACAGCGUAAUGUUUUUUGAAAUUCAUAUUGCAAAAAUGUUUGCGACCUCAUGUUGGAAAAGGAGUCUAUCGGSGCAAAUUUAAUAAGAGGCCCCCCCCACAAAACCCCUAAAGGUCUGGUUCACCGGAA
rnacentral:rRNA from 1 species